rfam:Cylindrospermum stagnale PCC 7417, complete genome.
AAAAUUGAAUAGGCAAAGCCGGAGAAAGCAGGUGCUAACAACUUAAUAUCCUGCCGAGGUGGAUGCUUUAACUGCCUGAAGUUUUACCUAAUAAGGUGUAAUACUACGGCAGGAAAAGUAUGACUACUAAACCCCGGCAAAAAAAGCUGGGGUUUAUUAUUUUGGGC